AUGGCUGCUCACCUACCGCGUCUCCCCGUCCUCCUCUUCGUCUUCCUCGCCGUCCAUGUCCCCGCCUCCCAUGGCGAUCCUGCUCCGCCCCUGACCACCUACGACGAUUCCAUGUGCCCGGAAUCGUCCAGGUGCGGAGACGUAUCUAUAAAAUAUCCCUUCUACCUCUCCAACACAAUCAGAUACAUCGCCGACUACCGUUACAACACACCCUACGCCUGCGGCUACACCGAUCUGGAGAUCUCCUGCCAGGGCAACGGGCUGACCGGGACGCCGGUCAUCCGCCUCGACAGCGAAAGCUACACCGUUCUCAACAUCUCCUACGACAACAAAACCGUUAUUCUUGCGGACAGCGACGUGCUCCGCCCUGGAAAGUGCCCCGUGGUCGGUCAGCCACGACGUCAGCUUCGACGAGGUGUGGCUACGCUACAGCACCAGCUCCAAAGACAACCUCACCUUCUUCUUCGGCUGCGAUCCCGCGCCGGCUGGACUCGACAUGUACCGAAUCGACUGCAACGGGUUGAAGAGUCCGUUCGACGAUGGAGCUUCCUUCGUGUUGACACCUGACCAUGGUAAAGCCCAAGAGCACAAUUUAGCUGCGUACUGCAAGAACUUAUCGGUGCCAGUAAGGAGCGAGGUUCUGAAGUCAAGUAACAAGACCAGCUUCACAAGCGGCGGAUACGGUGACGUGCUUAGGCAGGGGUUCGAGCUGGCCUGGCUUCCGACGGAUGAGUGCCACCCGUGCGAGCAGUCCGGCGGGAAGUGCUCCUACAACCAGUACAGGCAAUUCCUGGGCUGCUUGUGCUCAUCCAACAUCAAGGUGGGCCACCCGAGGUGUACACCAAGACCAAGUAUGGUACUCAUGGCCCGCGCCGAACGGCACAGGAGGGCGCUCCGCUCGUUCUCGCGCCCCGCGCUCCCGUUGACAGGGAUGCGACAUCUGCAUCUCACGGAAAUUGUGGCAAGCACAUCAUGCCUUCUAUUUCUGAGUCUACUUAUUCUCGCGUUCUUCUUGACCUGCAAAUAUGGUUCGCUACCCUUUAAAUCAAAGAACAAACCAAGGAUUGAAUCCUUUUACACAAAAGAAUGGGAACCUACAGCCUUAAAGAUACAGUUAUGCAGAUGUGAAAAGAAUGAUAAAGUUUUUUGCUGUUAAGCUAGGCCAAGGUGGAUUUGGUGCUGUAUACAAAGGUAACCUCUCUAAUGGCGGCCAGGUAGCAGUAAAGAUGCUAAAGGACGUCAAGGGUGAUGGGGAGGAAUUUAUGAAUGAGGUGGCUAGCAUUAGCAGAGCUUCCCAUGUCAAUGUUGUUACCCUUCUAAGAUUUUGUUUGGAAGGAUCCAAAAGGGCUCUCAUUUACGAGUACAUGCCUAAUGGUUCACUGGAAAGGUAUGUCUUCAUCAGCAAUUUAAACAGUGAAAAUACAUUAAGCAGGGAGAAAUUAUUUGACAUAGCAAUUGGCAUUGCUAGAGGACUUGAAUAUCUCCACCGAGGAUGCAUCGUGUAUUUUGAUAUCAAACCCCAAAUAUUCUAUUAGACCACGAUUUUCACCCUAAGAUUUCUGAUUUUGGAUUGGCCAAGCUAUGCCUGAAUAAAGGAGAGCGUUAUCUCCAUUGGUGGUGAAAGAGGAACAAUUGGAUGCAUUGCCCCUGAGGUGUACUCAAGGCAAUUUGGAAUAGUAAGUAGAAGGUCUGAUGUCUACAGUUAUGGUACGAUGGUGCUUGAGAUGGUUGGGGCAAGAGACAAGAAUAUCAAUGCAGAUAGUGAAUCUAGUAGCCAGUGAUGACUAUUGUAUGAGUGCUUCUGAGAUAAAUGGCGGGACCAGAGAGCUUGUGAGAAAGAUGACAGUGGUAGGUUUGCGGUGUAUACAAGUGAUCCCAACUGAUCGUCCAACAAUGACUAGAGUCGUGGAGAUGCUGGAAGGCAGCACAAGUAAUCUUGAACUGCCACCCAAAGUGCUCUUGGGUUGA